UACAGAGGCCCCAAGCGUUACUGAGAAUCACUGGGUUUAAAGGGUGCGUAGGUGGUCCGUUAAGUUCGUUGUGAAAGCCCUGGGCUCAACCCAGGAACUGCUUCGAAUACUGGCGGACUUUGAGGCUAGUAGAGGUCACUGGAACUGACGGUGGAGCGGUGAAUGCGUAGAUAUCGUCAGGAACGCCAAUGGUGAAGACAGGUGACUGGGCUAGAUCUGACACUGAGGCACGAAAGCGUGGGGAUCAAACGGG
rnacentral:rRNA from 1 species